rnacentral:lncRNA from 1 species
CUCAUGUUUGGAUUGGGCUACUGGAUUUUACUUAUAAUUGUAGAAGACUAUUUGAUGCGUUAAUUUAAAACUCAAGUCUAGGUUUAAGAUUUGAGCAGGGAUCUUUUGUCAUUGUUGAUGAAGCAACUAAUAAAUGUCAUAUUGAGUAGAGACUUCGGUCAUGAGAUGCUUACAUGAAUUAUCAUAUAUAGCAUUACUGAUGGAUGUUAAGGAUCUUGGUGAAGGAAGAUCUGGAGAUCGAUCGAGUUAAAUUCUAAUCAUAGUGUAUUGGCUCAAUGACUUCUAACCCAUUGAGUUUGAAGUAAAUUCUGUUGGAAGAAAAAUCAAUGUAGCUUUUCUAAUUAAAUUGCAAAGGGAAUACAAGAAUUACCCCCUAUAAAUUAAGCCUAGAUAUUUUGGAUUCUAAGAAGGUUGUGGAGAUCACGUAGUGACCUUAAACUUGACUAAAGGAUUGGGGGUUAGUUAUGGUAAGUACACUCUAUAUAAAUUGAGGACAAAAAGAUCUAGAGGUUUUG